CAUACCGGAGGGUGCAAGGGUCCCCAUAUGGGUGCAAAGCACUCGGGGAUAAAUCGGGAAUGACGUGACGGCGGACCCAAUUCGGGAGCCCAUGCGUCAGCCGCCCCCGCGACUGUAAGCGGUGAGCCCCCUGCCACAUGCCACCGGGCCGAACGGCCUUGGGAAGGCGGCAGGAUCGGCUAUGACCCGCGAGCCAGGAGACCAGCCUUUGCGUGAUGCAAUCC
rnacentral:ncRNA from 2 species